rnacentral:rRNA from 1 species
UGGGGAAUUUUGGACAAUGGGGGCAACCCUGAUCCAGCCAUCCCGCGUGUGCGAUGAAGGCCUUCGGGUUGUAAAGCACUUUUGGCAGGGAAGAAACAGCCUGGGAUAAUACCCCGGGCGACUGACGGUACCUGCAGAAUAAGCACCGGCUAACUACGUGCCAGCAGCCGCGGUAAUACGUAGGGUGCAAGCGUUAAUCGGAAUUACUGGGCGUAAAGCGUGCGCAGGCGGUUCGGAAAGAAAGGUGUGAAAUCCCAGGGCUUAACCUUGGAACUGCACUUUUAACUACCGAGCUAGAGUACGUCAGAGGGGGGUAGAAUUCCACGUGUAGCAGUGAAAUGCGUAGAGAUGUGGAGGAAUACCGAUGGCGAAGGCAGCCCCUGGGAUGAUACUGACGCUCAUGCACGAAAGCGUGGGGAGCAAACAGGAUUAGAUACCCUGGUAGUCCACGCCCUAAACGAUGUCAACUAGCUGUUGGGGUUUAUUAACCUUAGUAGCGCAGCUAACGCGUGAAGUUGACCGCCUGGGGAGUACGGUCGCAAGAUUAAACUUAAA